rnacentral:rRNA from 1 species
UACGUAGGCAGCGAGCGUUGUUCGGAGUUACUGGGCGUAAAGGGCGCGUAGGCGGCCGAUCAAGUUAGAUGUGAAAGUCCUGGGCUUAACCUGGGGACUGCAUUUGAUACUGAUUGGCUUGAAUUCGGGAGAGGAUAGCGGAAUUCCCAGUGUAGAGGUGAAAUUCGUAGAUAUUGGGAAGAACACCGGUGGCGAAGGCGGCUAUCUGGACCGACAUUGACGCUGAGGCGCGAAAGCGUGGGGAGCAAACAGG